rnacentral:rRNA from 1 species
AUGGCGUGGUGGUGGUCGGCCCUGGCGGCAGAGGCCGUGGCUGCGCCGGCCGUGGUGGUGGCUGGCCCAGAGGCGCUCCCCAUGUCAUGGUGGUGGUCGGCCUUGGCGGCGGCGGCCGUGGCUGCGCUGGCUGUGGUGGUGGCCGGCCCGGAGGCGCUCCCCAUGGCGUGGCGGUGGCCGGACCAGGCGAUGAGAGAAAGAUAG